rnacentral:rRNA from 1 species
GACUUUCAUGUGCGAAAGCAUGAUAAGGCCGACUCCGAGUGCCAGCAUCUAAUGCUGGCUGUCCUUGUGCCUAAAAAGCACAAGAUAGCAAGGGCCGGGUAAGACCGGUGCCAGCCGCCGCGGUAACACCGGCGGCCCGAGUGGUAGCCGCUAUUAUUGGGUCUAAAGGGUCCGUAGCCGGUUUGGUAAGUCCUUUGGGAAAUCUGGUUGCUUAACAAUCAGACUGCCAAGGGAUACUGCUGAACUUGAGACCGGGAGAGGUAAGAGGUACUUCAGGGGUAGGAGUGAAAUCUUGUGAUCCCUGGGGGACCAUCUGUGGCGAAGGCGUCUUACCAGAACGGGUCUGACGGUGAGGGACGAAAGCUGGGGGCGCAAACCGGAUUAGAUACCCGGGUAGUCCCAGCCGUAAACGAUGCUCGCUAUGUGUCAGGUACGGUGCGACCGUAUCUGGUGCCGUAGGGAAGCCGUGAAGCGAGCCACCUGGGAAGUACGGUCGCAAGACUGAAACUUAAAGGAAUUGGCGGGGGAGCACUACAACGGGUGGAGCCUGCGGUUUAAUUGGAUUUCAACGCCGGAA